rnacentral:rRNA from 1 species
UACGUAGGGUGCAAGCGUUGUCCGGAAUUAUUGGGCGUAAAGAGCGCGUAGGCGGUCCGGUAAGUCGGUUGUGAAAGUCGGGGGCUCAACCCUCGGAUGCCGAUCGAUACUGUCGGGCUAGAGUCCGGAAGAGGCGAGUGGAAUUCCUGGUGUAGCGGUGAAAUGCGCAGAUAUCGAGAGGAACACCUGCGGCGAAGGCGGGUUGCUGGGCUGACACUGACGCUGAGGCGCGAAAGCUAGGGGAGCGAACGGG